GACAGAGGGGGCAAGCGUUGCUCGGAAUUACUGGGCGUAAAGGGCGCGUAGGCGGGAUGGCAAGUCGGUCGUGAAAUCCCUCGGCUCAACCGAGGAACGUCGAUCGAUACUGCUGUUCUUGAGGAUUGCAGAGGAGACUGGAAUUCCCGGUGUAGCGGUGAAAUGUGUAGAUAUCAGGAGGAACACCGGUGGCGAAGGCGGAUCUCUGGGCCGAUACUGACGCUGAGGAGCGAAAGCGUGGGGAGCGAACAGG
rnacentral:rRNA from 1 species